GACGAACGCUGGCGGCGUGCUUAACACAUGCAAGUCGAACGAAGCUUGAUUACGGAUUCUUCGGAUGAAGUAUGAUAUGACUGAGUGGCGGACGGGUGAGUAACGCGUGAGUAACCUGCCCUUCAGAGGGGGAUAGCGUUUGGAAACGAACGGUAAUACCGCAUAAUGUAUUUUGACCGCAUGAUCGAAAUACCAAAGAUUUAUCGCUGAAGGAUGGACUCGCGUCUGAUUAGGUAGUUGGUGGGGUAACGGCCUACCAAGCCGACGAUCAGUAGCCGGACUGAGAGGUUGAUCGGCCACAUUGGGACUGAGACACGGCCCAGACUCCUACGGGAGGCAGCAGUGGGGAAUACUGCACAAUGGGCGCAAGCCUGAUGCAGCAACGCCGCGUGAAGGAAGACGGUUUUCGGAUUGUAAACUUCUGUUCUUAGUGAAGAAUAAUGACGGUAGCUAAGGAGCAAGCCACGGCUAACUACGUG
rnacentral:rRNA from 1 species